AUUUUACACUUGGUUUACUCUGAUGCUUGCUUCUGAGCCUAUGGUGACAAAUUCUACUUUCUGAGUCUGGAUGGGUGGAGGGAGGGCCUGGGAUGGUCAGAUCACAGUUUCCUCCUCCCCUCAGGAAGUAAAGUCCACUGGCAGGAGUGACCACAUUGGCUCGGCCUCACAGACUUAGAAUGCUUGCUUGUGUUCACAGUGCAGCCGAAUGAAAUGCCUUAGAAAAAGGAGUCACUUUGUCAAAAAUUCUAUACUUUUCUUCCCAGAUUGCCUCAUUGCUGAAGGAUUCCUUUGCUGAAGACCACAUCAAAGAGACCGAGCAUCAUGACGCAGAGGGCAGGGAAGGCCCAACCAUACACUGAAGCCCUGGAUGGAGGUUGGGGAUGGAUGAUUGUAUUUCAUUUCUUCCUGGUAAACGUGUUUCUGAUGGGGAUGAUCAAGACGUUCGCCAUUUUCUUUGUGGUCUUCCAAGAAAAAUUUGAAAGCUCCUCAGAACAAACUGGCUGGAUCGGAUCCAUCAUGUCAUCACUUCGUUUUUCUGCAGGUCCCCUGGUUGCCAUUAUUAGUGAAAUAACUGGAGAGAAGACUGCCUCCAUUCUCGGGGUUUUCCUUGUUUCUGGUGGAUAUCUGAUCAGCAGCUUGGCUACUAACAUCCCCUUUCUUUGUGUGACUAUGGGACUUCUACCUGGUUUGGGUUCUGCUCUCCUGUACCAAACAGCUGCCGUGCUAACUACCAAAUACUUCAAGAAACGAUUAGCUCUUUCCACAGCUAUUGCCCGUUCUGGGAUGGGUCUGACGUUUCUGAUAGCGCCUUUUACAAAAGUCCUGAUAGAUCUGUAUGACUGGACAGGUGCCCUUAUACUACUUGGAGGGAUGACAUUAAAUUUGGUGCCUUCAAGUAUGCUCUUAAGAGCCAUCCAUAUCAAAAGCGAGAACAAUUCUGAUAUUAAAAAUAAAGGCAGCAGCUUGUCUGCAAGUAAUCCAGGGGCAGUGGGCACGACAGAAAUGUCAUCCUGCGAUGAGACACAAGAGGCAACCAUCAUGGAGAGUGCAACGCAAAAGGCCAGACAACAUGGGACAAAUUUAAUAGUCUCACAGAACGAAGAGUUCAACAAUGAGCCUAAUGGGGACCGUUAUGAGAAAGAGGCUACUUCAUGCAGCUGUAAACAAAAACUCGGUGACAUCUCCCUUUUAAAAAAUCCUUUCUUCUACAUAUUUACCUGGUCUUUUCUCUUCAGUCAGCUGGCAUAUUUCAUCCCUACUUUCCACCUGGUGGCCAGAGCCAGAACACUGGGGAUUGACAUCAUGGAUGCCUCCUUCCUUGUUUCUGUAGCUGGUAUCACUGAGACAGUCAGUCAGAUAAUCUCUGGAUGGGUUGCUGAUCAAAACUGGAUCAAGAGGUAUCAUUACCACAAGUCUUACCUCAUCCUCUGCGGCAUCACUAACCUGCUCGCUCCUCUGGCCACCACAUUUCCAUUACUGAUGACCUAUACCGUCUUCUUUGCCAUUUUCACUGGUGGUUACCUGGCAGUGCUACUUCCUGUACUGGUUGAUCUGUCUGGGAAUUCUAGAGUACACAGGUUCUUGGGAUUUGCCGGUUUCUUUGCUGGGAUAGCUGUCCUUUCUGGACCACCUAUAGCAGGCUGGUUAUAUGAUCACACCCAGACAUACACCGGAUCCUUCUACUUCUCUGGCAUAUGCUUUCUCCUCUCUUCAGUUUCCCUGUUCUUUGUACCGCUGGCCGAGAGAUGGAAAAACAGAGCCUGACCAGAAAGGAAAAGGACUGCAAUCAAGCAAGUGCUUAACAAAACACAAUCUAAACUAAGAAGUCACUGGAAACAAAAGCUUGAAAGAAGCCAGUUUCCUCAUUUGUAAAAUGAGAAGGCAAACAAGAUCAUUUUUAAGGUUCUUUUUUGCUUUUGCAUUCUGAGGAAUAUCUAAUUAAUAGUGAGAAAAGAAUAAUAGCCACUUGAACUAAGCCUUUGUUAGUAUUUAAU